rnacentral:rRNA from 1 species
GACGUAGGGCGCGAGCGUUGUCCGGAUUUAUUGGGCGUAAAGAGCUCGUAGGCGGCUUGUCGCGUCGAAUGUGAAAUCCCGAGGCUCAACUUCGGGCUUGCAUUCGAUACGGGCAGGCUAGAGUUCGGUAGGGGAGACUGGAAUUCCUGGUGUAGCGGUGAAAUGCGCAGAUAUCAGGAGGAACACCGGUGGCGAAGGCGGGUCUCUGGGCCGAUACUGACGCUGAGGAGCGAAAGCGUGGGGAGCGAACAGG